ensembl:misc_RNA Metazoa_SRP Metazoan signal recognition particle RNA
GCUGGGUGGCGUGUGCCUGUAAUCCUAGCUACCGGGGAGGCUGAGGCAGGAGGAUUGCUUGAUCCCAGGAGUUCGAGGCUGCAGUGAGCUAUGAUCAUGCCACUGCACUCCAGCCUGGGCAACAGAGCAAGACCCUGUCUCUG